rnacentral:rRNA from 1 species
GGGUUGUGAGGUUAAGCGACUAAGCGUACACGGUGGAUGCCCUGGCAGUCAGAGGCGAUGAAGGACGUGCUAAUCUGCGAUAAGCGUCGGUAAGGUGAUAUGAACCGUUAUAACCGGCGAUUUCCGAAUGGGGAAACCCAGUGUGAUUCGUCACACUAUCAUUAACUGAAUCCAUAGGUUAAUGAGGCGAACCGGGGGAACUGAAACAUCUAAGUACCCCGAGGAAAAGAAAUCAACCGAGAUUCCCCCAGUAGCGGCGAGCGAACGGGGAGCAGCCCAGAGCCUGAAUCAGUGUGUGUGUUAGUGGAAGCGUCUGGAAAGGCGCGCGAUACAGGGUGACAGCCCCGUACACAAAAAUGCACAUACUGUGAGCUCGAUGAGUAGGGCGGGACACGUGGUAUCCUGUCUGAAUAUGGGGGGACCAUCCUCCAAGGCUAAAUACUCCUGACUGACCGAUAGUGAACCAGUACCGUGAGGGAAAGGCGAAAAGAACCCCGGCGAGGGGAGUGAAAAAGAACCUGAAACCGUGUACGUACAAGCAGUGGGAGCACGCUUAGGCGUGUGACUGCGUACCUUUUGUAUAAUGGGUCAGCGACUUAUAUUCUGUAGCAAGGUUAACCGAAUAGGGGAGCCGAAGGGAAACCGAGUCUUAACUGGGCGUUAAGUUGCAGGGUAUAGACCCGAAACCCGGUGAUCUAGCCAUGGGCAGGUUGAAGGUUGGGUAACACUAACUGGAGGACCGAACCGACUAAUGUUGAAAAAUUAGCGGAUGACUUGUGGCUGGGGGUGAAAGGCCAAUCAAACCGGGAGAUAGCUGGUUCUCCCCGAAAGCUAUUUAGGUAGCGCCUCGUGAAUUCAUCUCCGGGGGUAGAGCACUGUUUCGGCAAGGGGGUCAUCCCGACUUACCAACCCGAUGCAAACUGCGAAUACCGGAGAAUGUUAUCACGGGAGACACACGGCGGGUGCUAACGUCCGUCGUGAAGAGGGAAACAACCCAGACCGCCAGCUAAGGUCCCAAAGUCAUGGUUAAGUGGGAAACGAUGUGGGAAGGCCCAGACAGCCAGGAUGUUGGCUUAGAAGCAGCCAUCAUUUAAAGAAAGCGUAAUAGCUCACUGGUCGAGUCGGCCUGCGCGGAAGAUGUAACGGGGCUAAACCAUGCACCGAAGCUGCGGCAGCGACGCUUAUGCGUUGUUGGGUAGGGGAGCGUUCUGUAAGCCUGCGAAGGUGUGCUGUGAGGCAUGCUGGAGGUAUCAGAAGUGCGAAUGCUGACAUAAGUAACGAUAAAGCGGGUGAAAAGCCCGCUCGCCGGAAGACCAAGGGUUCCUGUCCAACGUUAAUCGGGGCAGGGUGAGUCGACCCCUAAGGCGAGGCCGAAAGGCGUAGUCGAUGGGAAACAGGUUAAUAUUCCUGUACUUGGUGUUACUGCGAAGGGGGGACGGAGAAGGCUAUGUUGGCCGGGCGACGGUUGUCCCGGUUUAAGCGUGUAGGCUGGUUUUCCAGGCAAAUCCGGAAAACUAAGGCUGAGGCGUGAUGACGAGGCACUACGGUGCUGAAGCAACAAAUGCCCUGCUUCCAGGAAAAGCCUCUAAGCAUCAGGUAACAUCAAAUCGUACCCCAAACCGACACAGGUGGUCAGGUAGAGAAUACCAAGGCGCUUGAGAGAACUCGGGUGAAGGAACUAGGCAAAAUGGUGCCGUAACUUCGGGAGAAGGCACGCUGAUAUGUAGGUGAAGUCCCUCGCGGAUGGAGCUGAAAUCAGUCGAAGAUACCAGCUGGCUGCAACUGUUUAUUAAAAACACAGCACUGUGCAAACACGAAAGUGGACGUAUACGGUGUGACGCCUGCCCGGUGCCGGAAGGUUAAUUGAUGGGGUCAGCGCAAGCGAAGCUCUUGAUCGAAGCCCCGGUAAACGGCGGCCGUAACUAUAACGGUCCUAAGGUAGCGAAAUUCCUUGUCGGGUAAGUUCCGACCUGCACGAAUGGCGUAAUGAUGGCCAGGCUGUCUCCACCCGAGACUCAGUGAAAUUGAACUCGCUGUGAAGAUGCAGUGUACCCGCGGCAAGACGGAAAGACCCCGUGAACCUUUACUAUAGCUUGACACUGAACAUUGAGCCUUGAUGUGUAGGAUAGGUGGGAGGCUUUGAAGUGUGGACGCCAGUCUGCAUGGAGCCGGCCUUGAAAUACCACCCUUUAAUGUUUGAUGUUCUAACGUUGACCCGUAAUCCGGGUUGCGGACAGUGUCUGGUGGGUAGUUUGACUGGGGCGGUCUCCUCCUAAAGAGUAACGGAGGAGCACGAAGGUUGGCUAAUCCUGGUCGGACAUCAGGAGGUUAGUGCAAUGGCAUAAGCCAGCUUGACUGCGAGCGUGACGGCGCGAGCAGGUGCGAAAGCAGGUCAUAGUGAUCCGGUGGUUCUGAAUGGAAGGGCCAUCGCUCAACGGAUAAAAGGUACUCCGGGGAUAACAGGCUGAUACCGCCCAAGAGUUCAUAUCGACGGCGGUGUUUGGCACCUCGAUGUCGGCUCAUCACAUCCUGGGGCUGAAGUAGGUCCCAAGGGUAUGGCUGUUCGCCAUUUAAAGUGGUACGCGAGCUGGGUUUAGAACGUCGUGAGACAGUUCGGUCCCUAUCUGCCGUGGGCGCUGGAGAACUGAGGGGGGCUGCUCCUAGUACGAGAGGACCGGAGUGGACGCAUCACUGGUGUUCGGGUUGUCAUGCCAAUGGCACUGCCCGGUAGCUAAAUGCGGAAGAGAUAAGUGCUGAAAGCAUCUAAGCACGAAACUUGCCCCGAGAUGAGUUCUCCCUGAGACUUUAAGUCUCCUGAAGGAACGUUGAAGACGACGACGUUGAUAGGCCGGGUGUGUAAGCGCAGCGAUGCGUUGAGCUAACCGGUACUAAUGAACCGUGAGGCUUAACCUUACAACGCCGAAG